AUUCCAGUGACUUUGAGCCAGAAGAAAAUGGUGAUGGUGCUGAGGACGAGGAGAUUGAGGAUGAUGAUGCUGAGGAUGGUGAGGAUUCUGUCAAGGCGCAAUCCUCUUCGAAGAGGAAGAGGUCUGGCGCGGAGGAUGAAGAUGAUGAUGACGGUGAUGAUGAUGGUGAUGAUGAUGAGAAGCCUCCAUCAAAGCGAUAGUCAAUUUGUUCUUGCUGAUCUGGUAUCUUUUCUGCUUGGGCCAAGAAGGAAAAUAAUCCUCACGGAGAGGGUUGUUGGUAAAUGCUGUAGCUUUAGGACAUCUGUGGUAGGUGUAGCAGCUCGAACUUGAGUCUACCCAUGUUAGUUGUUAGUGCAUACUGCUGAUGUUGAUUAACAGCCUCGGGGAACUUCUGUAUGAGCAUUAGAUAUGGGGCUUGUUAUAUGCUUGUGUAGCUUCUGAUUAAAACCUGUGGAAUGUGGAUGCUCUGUUCUGAAUCUUGUUUUCAUGAUAUUUCU
rnacentral:lncRNA from 1 species